UACAGAGGGGGCAAGCGUUGUUCGGAAUUACUGGGCGUAAAGGGCGCGUAGGCGGCCUGUUAAGUCGAACGUGAAAUCCCCGGGCUCAACCCGGGAACUGCGUCCGAUACUGGCAGGCUUGAAUCCGGGAGAGGGAUGCGGAAUUCCAGGUGUAGCGGUGAAAUGCGUAGAUAUCUGGAGGAACACCGGUGGCGAAGGCGGCAUCCUGAACCGGCAUUGACGCUGAGGCGCGAAAGCCAGGGGAGCAAACGGG
rnacentral:rRNA from 1 species